UACGUAGGGGGCAAGCGUUGUCCGGAAUCAUUGGGCGUAAAGCGCGCGUAGGCGGCCCGGUAAGUCCGCUCUGAAAGUCCAAGGCUCAACCUUGGAAUGCGGGUGGAUACUGCCGGGCUAGAGUCCGGAAGAGGCGAGUGGAAUUCCUGGUGUAGCGGUGGAAUGCGCAGAUAUCAGGAGGAACACCAAUAGCGAAGGCAGCUCGCUGGGACGUUACUGACACUAAGGCGCGAAAGCGUGGGGAGCGAACAGG
rnacentral:rRNA from 1 species